AUGAAGCUCCCCAGCAUCUAUUUAUCCAAGUGCAUAAUACUCUUUCUUCCUUUUUUAUUUCUUACUCUGUUUCACCACCCUGUUGCCUUUUUAUCCACGUCACAUCUCGUACACUGCUAUACAGGCCAUAAGAAGAACAAGAACAGACAUAUUUUGAGCUCUAUUCCUGCCUUUGAAGUAUCUAGUAGCAUAGAUUAUUCUUGGACGGCGCUGCUAGCUAGGAAUGGGCGGUGUCAAGAAGAAUUCUCUUUUUUCAUGGUUCAGCUCGUGUCUUUCGAGCAGCUACCUGAAAACAUCGUCCACCAUAUGCAUCCAUUGGAAUCGCACUGA
rnacentral:rRNA from 1 species